rnacentral:rRNA from 1 species
UCAUAUUGUAUACUGAUCACAUGAUCUAUAUAUGAAAGAUUUAUCGCUUAUGGAUGGACUCGCGUCUGAUUAGAUAGUUGGUGAGGUAAACGGCUCACCAAGUCGACGAUCAGUAGCCGAACUGAGAGGUUGAUCGGCCGCAUUGGGACUGAGACACGGCCCAGACUCCUACGGGAGGCAGCAGUGGGGAAUAUUGCGCAAUGGGGGAAACCCUGACGCAGCAACGCCGCGUGCAGGAAGAAGGUCUUCGGAUUGUAAACUGUUGUCGCAAGGGAAGAAGACAGUGACGGUACCUUGUGAGAAAGUCACGGCUAACUACGUG